GGGCCGUUAGCUCAGCCGGUAGAGCAGCUGGCUUUUAACCAGUUGGUCGCAGGUUCGAUCCCUGCACGGCCCACCA
rnacentral:tRNA from 1 species